rnacentral:rRNA from 1 species
CCUACGGGUGGCAGCAGUGGGGGAUAUUGGACAAUGGGCGGAACCCUGAUCCAGCGACGCCGCGUGAGUGAAGAAGUCUUUCUGUAUUUAAAGCUCUAUCAGCCGGGAAGAAAAGCAUGGCGGUCCCUGCCUCCGACGCCCCGGCUCACUACGUGCCCGCAUCCGCUGUAAUACGUCGGGGGCAAGCGUUAUACGGAUUUGCUGGGUGUAAAGGGCGCUCAGCCGGCAAUGCAAGCCUGGAGUGCACGGCAGGGGCCCAACCCCCGGACUGCCCUGGGAACUGGAUAGCUAGAGUGCAGGAGAGGCAAGUGGAAUUCCUGGUGUAGCGGUGAAAUGCGUAGAUAGUAGGAGGAACACCAGUGGCGAAGGCGGCUUGCUGGACUGUAACUGACGUUGAGGCUCGAAAGCGUGGGGAGCAAACAGGAUUAGAUACCCCAGUAGUC